GGACAUCUCUAGUUUUAGUCUUUUAGUUCAGUUUUAGUUUUGCUUUCUCCUGACUGGCCUCUGACGCACGCCAGGUGUUCGACAAUAUUCCCCAACGGGAAAAACACCUUUUAUUCCUUGCUUCUUAAUAGAAAACGCAAUGCCUUUGCAAUCUAUUAAUUCGUGUGGUGAUUUAAUUAUGCGGCGUGGCUAAGUCUUCCAUCUAGUCAAGGGUCAACUCGACGGCGCAGUCCCGAAAAUCUGUGAGAUCUAAUUAGUU
rnacentral:lncRNA from 1 species